GAACAUCCAAUGGUAAAUUACGGUGAAUUAAGUUAUAUAU
rnacentral:guide_RNA from 1 species